GUUCGCGUUCUCUCUCUCUAAAACACACAAACACACACAGCUGAGUUAUUGUUGAAAUUCAUGGACAUAUGCUUCAAUGGCGGUGAUGAACUGGCAGAAUUUCGAAUCUGUUCCGUUGAGUUCGAUUGUAGUUUGACAGGGCGCUGCGUUUCUAUCCGAGCGAGUCGAGAUUGAAAUAGAGAAGGAUAACAAUAUGAUGGCGGAGGAUUUAGGGGUGGAGGCGAAGGAGGCGUCGGUGAGGGAGGUGGCGAAGCUUCUGCCUCUGCCGGAGCUCUUGCAGUCCAUUGCUUCGAUUAAAGCUGAUUACAUUGCCCGUCAACAGGUUAUUUUCAGUAUUUGUUGUGAAUUCGGUAUUUGAAAUUAUACUUAAUUGAGUUCAUAAGUCCUCACAGCAUGUAGUUAUUCCGAGAUAUCUAGAACUGAAAAUUCAACCUUUAACUAGAUAGAAUAUUUUUUCAUCAUACCAUUUUAAAUUUUUAAUUGAUUAAUUAAAAUAAGAAAUAAUAUAACUAUAUCUAAGAUUUAAAAUAGAUAAAUAUACUAUAUAAUAAAAUAUUAAUAAAUGUAUACUCCUCAAUUUAUUUUACACCUAAAGACAUUAAAUUAAACAUAUUUAAAAUGGAAUCAAGACAAACAAAAUUAUUUGGGCAAUGAUGAAGAGACUAUAUCAAGUGUUGACAUUUUUUAAAAAUAUGUUUAAAACAAUCCUUCAUAUUUCUCUACUAAAAAUAAUGUAAAUAACACUUUUAACAGAAUAAUGAAUCGUAACUCAUAAUAUUCAAAACGUCAAAAUUAUGACCAUAAAAAAAUUCAAAUGAUAAACUACACAAAAAAUUACAUUAAUAGGUUGAAUUAACAUUAUUACAUUAAUGAAUAUUGAUAGCCUUUUGAAUGUUGGAGCGUUUAUCUUUAUUUAUUGCACUUUUAAACGUGGCUUGUUGGAUCAUGAAACAUCUAUACUAUUUUUUAAGCUAGUACUUUACAAUUAUCAAUACUACAAAUUUUCUUUUUGUAAAAAUAUGGAGUCUCUCCAUAUAAAAUCAAUUGUAUCCCAUAAAAAUUAAGUGUUAGAUCCUAAUUUCAAUAAUAGUAUUAUUAGUAAA